GCUCAGCAUAUGUGGGAACUCCUUCAAUACUAUUGGAAAAGUAUUCCAGGUGAAGCUGGUUGAGAGAAUGCCAAGAGUGGCAAAGGUUGGCUACUUUGAAGAACACCUCCACUAAUAACAGCUGUUUGUUAGGUUCCAGGAAACGGAGGGGUCCUGUCAGGCCAAAUCUGUAUCCUACUCUGUUCUGGAAGCAGCCAACCAGGUGGCAGUCAUCAAGGCUGCAAAGAACGCCAAUGUUACCAUGACAAAGAACGCCACGGCAACCGCCAUUAGCACGGCAAAGAGAGCCACCAGUUUGGUAACCAUGAAGGACGCAGCAGUAAAUGUCACCUUGGGAAAGGGUCCCAACACCCCUAACACCGUUACCAACAUGCCUGCUAUCAGCAUUGCCAAAGGUGCGGGGUCUACGGUAGGGGCGUGCCAGAGAGUGCCAGCACGACAUUGAUCAGCGAGAUGGAGGCAGGGAGAGGGAAGACUGCUGCUACUCUAUCAGAUCCACUCUGACCGUUCCUGACAACCAGCUGAAACAGUUUGGGGUGGGCACGGCCACAGACCAUAGUGAUGCCCGUCAACAAAGCCGAGGACUCCCAUCCGUUCUGUGCAGUGUCUACUGAGCAUUACUACUCCUGGAACAUUGGGAAACGCAGGGCGGCUGAGGGAGGUCACAGCCAUUACCAUUCACCAGGCUGCCAGCAGCGUCCCCACAUCUGACUUCCUCACCAACACGCAAACGCUCAGACUGAGAGUCACAACACACUCGGGCUUCUCCCAUCAGUGUCACUAGCUGAGAGACGGGCAGUAACGAGGGUUUGGCCAUGUCUCUCUGGGGUAAAAGUGAACGGUUGGCCAGACAGAAGAACACUAUGACCGCAGCAGACAGUGGCCACAACAGCAACAGGAAGGCUUCGACCCCACCAAACCCUGGGACUAAACACCUCCCUCUGCAACUGGAUCCUGGACCUCCUGACGGGCCGAC